GGGCGGGUAGCGCAGUGGUCAGCGUGUUCCUGAGCGUUUCAUCAGCGUUGUUUUCUUCACUUCCCAUCCAGCGUUUAGCGAAAGACCUGGGUUCGAAUCCCAGCCCGCCCA